rnacentral:rRNA from 1 species
CAGUCGCCGCGGGAACACGUAGGUGGCAAGCGUUGUCCGGAAUUAUUGGGCGUAAAGGGCUCGCAGGCGGUUUCUUAAGUCUGAUGUGAAAGCCCCCGGCUCAACCGGGGAGGGUCAUUGGAAACUGGGAAACUUGAGUGCAGAAGAGGAGAGUGGAAUUCCACGUGUAGUGGUGAAAUGCGUAGAGAUGUGGAGGAACACCAGUGGCGAAGGCGACUCUCUGGUCUGUAACUGACGCUGAGGAGCGAAAGCGUGGGGAGCGAACAGGAUUAGAUACCCCUGUAGUCCCUGUCUCUUAUAC